CCGAAAAUAGCUCAGUUGGCAGAGCGGGAGACUGUAGUGGACAACAACCAAGAUAUCUCUAGGUCCCUGGUUCAAAUCCGGGUUUUCGGA